rnacentral:rRNA from 1 species
UACAGAGGGUGCGAGCGUUAAUCGGAAUUACUGGGCGUAAAGGGCGCGUAGGCGGUUCGCUAAGUUGAAUGUGAAAACUCUGGGCUUAACCCAGAGCCUGCAUUCAAUACUGGCGGGCUAGAGUUCUGGAGGGGAUAGCGGAAUUCCUGGUGUAGCGGUGAAAUGCGUAGAUAUCGGGAGGAACACCGGUGGCGAAGGCGGUUCUCUGGGCCUGUACUGACGCUGAGGAGCGAAAGCGUGGGGAGCGAACAGG